rnacentral:rRNA from 1 species
UACGAAGGGGGCUAGCGUUGUUCGGAAUUACUGUGCGCAAAGCGCGCGCAGGCGGUUCUCCACGUCAGUGGUGAAAGCCCGGAGCUCAACUCCGGAACUGCCAUUGAAACUGCAGAACUUGAGGAUGAGAGAGGUGAGUGGAAUUCCUGGUGUAGCAGUGAAAUGCGUAGAUAUCAGGAGGAAUACCGAUGGCGAAGGCAGGUCUCUGGGCUAGAACUGACGCUCAUGCACGAAAGCGUGGGGAGCAAACAGG